rnacentral:rRNA from 1 species
AACGAACGCUGGCGGCAUGCCUAACACAUGCAAGUCGAACGAGACCUUCGGGUCUAGUGGCGCACGGGUGCGUAACGCGUGGGAACCUGCCCUUAGGUUCGGAAUAACUCCCCGAAAGGGGUGCUAAUACCGGAUAAUGUCUUCGGACCAAAGAUUUAUCGCCUUUGGAUGGGCCCGCGUUGGAUUAGCUAGUUGGUAGGGUAAAAGCCUACCAAGGCGACGAUCCAUAGCUGGUCUGAGAGGAUGAUCAGCCACACUGGGACUGAGACACGGCCCAGACUCGUACGGGAGGCAGGAGUGGGGAAUAUUGGACAAUGGGCGAAAGCCUGAUACAGCAAUGCCGGGUGAGUGAUGAAGGCCUUAGGGUUGUAAAGCUCUUUUACACGGGAUGAUAAUGACAGUACCGGGAGAAUAAGCGCCGGCUAACUCCGUG